rnacentral:lncRNA from 1 species
GGCCGCAUCGAUUUACAUUUUGAUGUGAGUUGAUUGACUCAAGAUCGAAUUUGACUCAGUAGUUCAGGCCUGUUUUAAUAGGUUAACCUAAUCAAUUCUAAUCAAUCAAUUUGAUGUCUAAGGUAAGUAUUUAGAUAGUGAUUAUUUAAUUAGUUUUAUUAUCUGAUCUAGUCAAUUUUGAUUGGUGUCUAAGGAAAGCAAUGGGGG